rnacentral:rRNA from 1 species
CCUACGGGAGGCAGCAGUGGGGAAUAUUGCACAAUGGGGGGAACCCUGAUGCAUCGACGCCGCGUGGGUGAAGGAGUACUUCGGUACGUAAAGCCCUAUCAGCAGGAAAGCAAAUGACGGUACCUGACUAAGAAUCCCCGGCUCACUACGUGCCAGCAGCCGCGGUAAUACGUAGGGGGCAAGCGUUAUCCGGAUUUACUGGGUGUAAAGGGGGCGUAGACGGCAGUGCAAGUCCGGAGUGAAAGCCCGGGGCUCAACCCUGGGGCUGCUGUGGAAACUGUAAAGCUGGAGUGCGGGAGGGGCAGGCGGAAUGCGUGGUGUAGCGGUGAAAUGCGUAGAUAUCAGGAGGAACCCCGACGGCGAAGGCGGCGUGCUGGCUCGAAACUGACGUUGAGGCUCGAAAGCGUGGGGAGCGAACAGGAUUAGAUACCCUUGUAGUC